rnacentral:rRNA from 1 species
AUGAACGCUGGCGGCGUGCCUAAUACAUGCAAGUCGAGCGAACGGACGAGAAGCUUGCUUCUCUGAUGUUAGCGGCGGACGGGUGAGUAACACGUGGAUAACCUACCUAUAAGACUGGGAUAACUUCGGGAAACCGGAGCUAAUACCGGAUGAUAUUUUGAACCGCAUGGUUCAAAAGUGAAAGACGGUCUUGCUGUCACUUAUAGAUGGAUCCGCGCUGCAUUAGCUAGUUGGUAAGGUAACGGCUCACCAAGGCAACGAUGCAUAGCCGACCUGAGAGGGUGAUCGGCCACACUGGAACUGAGACACGGUCCAGACUCCUACGGGAGGCAGCAGUAGGGAAUCUUCCGCAAUGGGCGAAAGCCUGACGGAGCAACGCCGCGUGAGUGAUGAAGGUCUUCGGAUCGUAAAACUCUGUUAUUAGGGAAGAACAUAUGUGUAAGUAACUGUGCACAUCUUGACGGUACCUAAUCAGAAAGCCACGGCUAACUACGUG